CCGGCCUAGGGGAAAGUAGGUUCGGGGGUCUGAGCGACAGGUCGACCCCGUGAACUACAGGAAGCCCCGCCUCCACCUUCCGGCACCAAGGUUCCCCUGCCUCGGUUACCGGCUCCGGAAAUCCCACCCCCUCGCUGUCGCUUCCCAGGCGACAACGCCGGCCCCAAUCCCCGGUUCCACCUGCUGUCUAAUCGCCCCCAGCAUUCUUGUGGGAAACGCCCGCCUGAAGAUUCCUGGCUUUGUUUGGGAACCUUAGCAUGCUCUCCAGAGACCGAUUAAUUAAGGGCCAUUACGAUUCCAUCACUCAUUCCGCUUCAGGUUGGAGUUCCAUAGUCACAUAGGAUUGAAGUGGUCUCCACGAUCCCGUGAAUUUAAAUGAAAACCGAGACGAGGGGCUGGGGAUGUGGCUCAAGAGGUAGCGCGCUCGCCUGGCAUGCGUGCGGCCCGGUUUCGAUCUCAGCACCACAUACAAAAAAACAAAGAUGUUGUGCCCGCCGCUAACUAAAAAAAUAAAUAUUAAAAAAUUCUCUUACUCUCAAAAAAAAAAAAAACCGAUAAUUCCAACAUUCAGCUUUGCACUGAGAAUCAAUUAACUGCCGCUCUCCGUCUUCGGAAAAUGUAGAACACCUAACACACACUUGUAGAGGUAAAACUCUUUAAUCUCAGAGCGCCCCUCCCAAUUUCCGACCCCCCCCCCACUCUCUCCCCCACACCAGGGCCGGAGAGUGAGCCCCCUGCCCUCCACCUCUGGUGGACGAGGGCCCUUUAAGGCACCUAUGGGGGUGGGGGAAGAGGAGCGGGAGCUGGUUCCGUCCUGGAUGCAAGGACGGGCUUGGAUUGGCAGGUGUUUGUGGGAUGGAAUCAAUGAGGUGGGGUGUCACAGGCAGACACGGGAUUGGGCCAUCCCUGAGGUGGCCAGGGUCACAACUGUCAGGACUAGGGUUAAAAAACGACCCCAACCCGGUAGUGUAAAGCCAUAAACUGGAAGCCGCAGUUCUGGGCGCCGGAGGCUUGGCCGCUGUCCCCGCCGAGCCAGUGAGGUGGGACAGUUCUGGAAGGGUGGGCGGGCCUAGGGAGACUGACCGAGCCCGCGAGCAGACUCAAGCCAAUCACAGAGCUGCCCAGUCACCAGGCUCGAGUCGGUGCCACCACCCACUCCUGGGCUUGGCAGUGCUCCUUCAGGGACCGUCAAGGCCGCGAGAGCGAAACCACCUUCGCUUAGGCAGAGCUGACCCCGGGAGGCUUAGGACCGGCCUGGCCCCGACGGCGGGCGGAAGCAAUCAAAGAAUCUGACGCUGGGCAGAAAAAUGGGCGACAGACACCACGCGAAGAGUGGCCAGAUCGCGCUCCUGGGCGGGAGAUCGAGGGCUGGAAGGGCGGCGGGAAGUGCAGGGCGGGUCAGUCCUGGGACCGCGGAUUCGUGGGGACUGUCCCGGCUCCGGCUGGGAUUGGCCAGCCCCGGGGGCGCGGCGGGGGUGUAGUGUGGGCGGGGCGGACGCGGCCCGAGAAGCUUCGUGGGCCUCAGUAUUUCCGCUUCAGCUUUUGGAAGUCGCUGGUGUUGAGCCGAGGUCGUGGCAAAUCCCCGAAGACCUGGGUGUCCUCAGCCUCCCGCAGAACCAACGCGCGCAUGCUCGCCGCGAUGCGGUCGAGGUCCGGCGAGGAGGGCUGCAGAGACGUGGGCGGGGCGGGUCAGCACCCUCGGCCCGCGGCACACACCCAGAGCUCCAGCAUUCAGCCCCUGCACCCUGGGCAACAGGCCCGCUCCCAGCUGGUCCCGACCCUCCCGAUUGUGCCCUGCGAUGCCCACCGCCAGCCAUGCCCUCUUGCUCCAUUCUUCUACCCAACUCACACUUCCUCUGGCAGCUUUGUUGGCCUCUCCCCCUCCCCAUCUUGACCUGUGUGCCACCACAGCUGCCUGUUCCACCGCGGGGAGGGGUCUCAGGCACCAUUUGGGCUAAAGAUACAGUCACAUUCCAAUCAGAUCUCUGCUGCGGACUAGCUAGCUGUACAUAAGAGAUUUUGCCUUCCUAGGCCUCAGUCUCCCCUUCUGAAAGAUGGGUAUAACAGGGCCUGGGGAGGGCUGAAAUUGGAUAGUCAUUUCAGAGAUGGAGCAAGGAAGGUGAACUAUCAGGUGGUCUGCACAGAAAGGACCCUCAUAUCCACCCAGUGCUCCUCCAUCAAAGCCCUCCAUUAGGCUGGGAGAGGCCACAGGCACUAGUUGGUCAGGAGCCCAUGAGGAGGACAGCCCAGGGUCCAGCACUAGGAGGCCUUGAAGGUUCAAUCGGUUAACUGUGUGACCAUAAGCUGCCAACAUGGACAGCAGCACUGCACCUGAUGCCUCACUGGGCCCUUCUACAACCUGGGGGCAGAAAAAUGGGCGACAGACCCCACGUCCAUUUUUCUGCCCAGCGUCAGAUCACUCAUCUCUAAGUAAAUAAACACUGAGUCUUGAGGGGAACAAUGCCAGGCCUUCUCCCUUGCAGCCCACUGCUCUUCUAAAGGAAGCUGGGUUCCAGUCUCAGACCUCUGGGAGGCCAUGCGUCCUCAGUGCCUCACUUUCCUCCUGGCUUCAAGGAGUCCCAGUGUUUGGUAGCUGGAGCUACCCCAGGAGAGCAGAGGAGGCCUUCCGAACAGCAUGGCUACAGGACUGUGGCUGGAAACCUGCCUCUCACGGCUGAGUGGGCUUCAGGGAGCUCACAGGUGAGAAGGGCAGCAGAUCUGAGGGCUUCCUGCAGCAGGUGGCUCUGAGCCUGUCUAGUCUCCCUCCUCCCCAGCCCCACCUGCCCCUCACCGGCCCGUUCUCCUCAUCUGAUGACCGGGCCUCUGUCCUCUUCUCUUUGAAGGCCCAGACAGGCACCGACACGGGCAGAGACCGGGCAUACUGCUGUGUGGGCAGCGCCGAGGCUGGGGGCAUGGAGUAGGCUGGGGGGCCAGCUGGGGUCUCCUCGCUCAGGCUGCCAUCUGUGAGAAAGGGGUACUUCAGCCUCUGUCCCUGUUAGCAUUCCUGGUUCCUGGGUGUGGGGACAGCGGGGGACACUCACCAUCUGUGCUCUCAGGGUCUGACUCGCAGAAGGGGGGCAAGUCCUGGAGGGUGGCAUCCUCGUCCAUCACAAAGAGCCCUGAGGAUGGUGUCAAGAGGCCCUGGCCAGUCAGGUUGCUAUCCUGCUACAAGUGCCCCAACUCCAGCCACUGUCACUGCUUUCUGGGGUCUCCUGCAAUUAUUAGUCUCUCAGCCUCAAAUACACGGUGCUCGUUAUCUGUCCGGUCAUGAGGAGAAUUCAUCUGUCAACCUGUCACACCCUCAGAUGCAAAAAAUACCCUGGCUAACAAGGAGCCUCUAAGAUCUGUUUUGGACAAUCAAUGUGACUCAGAACAUAGGCUUAGAGAAAAUGGCACAAUUGUGACACCUGCUUGACAAAAGGAGAGGCUCUGACAGAUUGUGUCGCUGGCUGGAGGUCCCACAGCAAGUAAGUGACAUCACCAGGAUUUCAACUCUGCACACCUGGCUCCUGUCUGUACCUUCCUUCUCGGCAGGUGUUGUCCAGCAACCGGAGGAGGCCGAGGCCAGGCAUUGGUGACAACAGAGAGUAAUUCCUAUUAAUUGAUUCCCCUGCACACUCUCUCACUCCUCAGAACCUCAGUGUUGAGUGCAGCCUCUGGGAGGAACCCCUGCAAGCUGGCUGCUCCCUGACUGGGGUGGCUGCUGGGUGACGUUUCAUGAGACACAGUCCCAAGGGCCUCGGCCCCCCUGGAAAGUCACAGCAGGCAGCUAGCCAGGACCAGAUCCCCAGCCCCUGCCUGGCACCUUCUUACCUCCGUUAUCGCUGCCACCCAGCCGAUCCCCGGAGGUCUCUGUCUCCGUUGGUUCAUCCUCCUCGUCCUCCUCAUCCUCCCUGGCCAGAGCAGGCUGGGGUGGGCUUGGGGCAGGGCUGGGCGGCUGUGGUUCUGGUGGGGGCCCGGGGGGCCGGGCGGCAGCAGCUGCCCUAUGAGCUUGGGCAAUGUCAUGGAGGCAGCGGCGGGCAGCCUCAGCCAGGGCCCCACGGCCAUGGGCUGCAUAGGCACAGGGCCCUGGGCGUGGUGGUGGCGCAGCCGUCAGCAGCACCAGCUCUGUGCCUGUCCGGGCCCGGAAGCGCUCGGCGGCCCCCACCACAGCCUCCCACAGCUCCUCCGGCCGCCCUGACGCCAUCAGCGCCCUGUGGGCCAAAGCAGGACAAAGGGGGAUGAGGCUCAGGUGCCCAUACUGUUCCCACCCAGCCUUGUCCACCUGUCCCCUGGAUGCCACUCAUGUCCCUCACAUCCACUUUGCCCGGCUAAGCUUGGUGCUUUCUGCAAACCUGCUACUUCCCUGGGCCCCUCACACUACCCCUCACUCACACCCACCUCCCUCCUGCCCCAAAUAUCUGCACCGUCCUUUCCCAGCCCCAGGUCUCCUUUUGGCUCUGCCCUGUCCCACAUGCGAGUCAGCAGUCCUUGGAAUGUGGCAGCUACAAGCAGAGAGGUGCUAUGAGCGUCACAGCCAUGCCGGGUUUUGAAGAUUCAGUAUGAAGAAGCAGAAGGCAAAACUGCUCGUGGCUUCUAGGAAACUGGCAGGCUGGCACUGCAUUUCUGUUGAACCAGCUGCACCAUCACCCCAGCCUCCAGUCACAUAACAUGAGGCCCAGAGGGUCAUCUCCACCAAGAGCUGACCCUACCACUUGCGGAAUUCCCAGGACAAGGUGGUCCCCACACCUGGAAGACUGGACCUCCAUUCAAGGCCAACCAGUCACUCAUCCUGUGUGAAUGAAACUUCCCUCACCCCUGAUUAAGCCAAUUCCCCUCCUUGGGGCUCCUGCAUCUGAGCAACCUCCUGUUACAGCACAAUCCCCUCAGGAAAGGAUUGAAUAAAGGGGAAAAAAAAAAAA